GGUAAUUUAAUCUUAUAAUCAAAAUAAAUGGAUCAAAAAAAUAUACAUAAAUAUAUAAAAACAAAGAGGAGUUAAAUAAUAUUCCUCCCAUCACCCCAACAAAACAAUCUAUUCCCACUCAAUAUAAAUAAAACAAACAAUGAAUAAAUAAGAAAAUUGUCAAACUCUAUAGGGUCUUCUCGUCCCAUAAAAACAUCUAAGAAUUUUAACUCAAAAACCAAAUUCAAUAAACCAAUACCCCCAAGACAGCUUAUGUCUCGUCAAGCCAUUCAUACCAGAUCACAAUUAAAGAACUAAUGAUUAUGCUACCUUUGCACGGUCAAAAUACCGCGGCCCUUCAACUCCAAGUCAGUGGGCAGGCCAUACUUCAAAAACUAACAAGAAAAGAUGUUUUUGUUAAACAGGCGGACAUAAAAAUUUGCCGAAUUCCUCAAAAGCAAUUAACAUCUUACCAUCUCACAAAACAAUCAAUAAAAUUUACUAAUUACACAAUAAUUACCAUACAAACCAAAAGUAAAGAAAACAUUUCAAUAAAUAACUUAAAUUAAAAAAAAUUAAAAAAAGAACAAAUAAAAUUUUAACAUAAUCAAAUAGAAAAUCACUAUAAAAUCCACAAAACUAAAUUAACCACAAACAAUUAUAAAACUAGAACAAGGAGCUAAUCCCCCUCAAUCUUAGCAUCAAAUAAAAAUAAAUUAAAUCAACAACAGAAAUUAAAUAAGAUGCAUGAAUUAAA
rnacentral:rRNA from 1 species